rnacentral:rRNA from 1 species
CCUACGGGUGGCUGCAGUGGGGAAUAUUGCACAAUGGGGGAAACCCUGAUGCAGCCAUGCCGCGUGUAUGAAGAAGGCCUUCGGGUUGUAAAGCACUUUCAGCGAGGAGGCAAGGUUGGUAGCUAAUAACUGCCAGCUGUGACGUUACUCGCAGAAGAAGCACCGGCUAACUCCGUGCCAGCAGCCGCGGUAAUACGGAGGGUGCAAGCGUUAAUCGGAAUUACUGGGCGUAAAGCGCACGCAGGCGGUCUGUCAAGUCGGAUGUGAAAUCCCCGGGCUCAACCUGGGAACUGCAUUCGAAACUGGCAGGCUAGAGUCUUGUAGAGGGGGGUAGAAUUCCAGGUGUAGCGGUGAAAUGCGUAGAGAUCUGGAGGAAUACCGGUGGCGAAGGCGGCCCCCUGGACAAAGACUGACGCUCAGGUGCGAAAGCGUGGGGGGCAAACAGGAUUAGAUGCCCUGGUAGUC